rnacentral:rRNA from 1 species
UACGUAGGGUGCGAGCGUUAAUCGGAAUUACUGGGCGUAAAGCGUGCGCAGGCGGUUCGUUGUGUCGGUGGUGAAAGCCCCGGGCUUAACCUGGGAAUGGCCAUGGAAACUGGCGAACUGGAGUGUGGCAGAGGGGGGUGGAAUUCCGCGUGUAGCAGUGAAAUGCGUAGAUAUCGGGAGGAACACCUGUGGCGAAAGCGGCGCACUGGACCACAACUGACGCUGAGGCGCGAAAGCUAGGGGAGCAAACAGG